UGGCUUCUGGAGUCUUCUAGAUGGUGGAAAAUCGCGCGGUGCAUUGAUAUCCCUAUGUAAUCCCGACAUGUGGGCCUUUCUUCCUUAUUUCCUGAUAACCCCCUGCAGAAACAGAUAAACAACAAAACUCGUGGAAUUCUGUCAGAUCAAACCCUAAUUCUAGGUGUUGGUUGCAUAUUGGUCCUUUCUCUUGUUUAUUUGAUAAUUAAAAUUGAUACUUAAGAACCGUCAACAAAUACCCCCAUACUUAGGCUUUUACUCGUCCUCGAGAAAAGGAUGGUUAAGAACAAUAUCUGGGGUAAAACAUUUUAAAGCAUUCUUUAUAUAAUUGCAGGGUGUUAAAAAUUUACUGUGUACCAUAGUCAGGGAAGUAUAUGGUUAAGAGUAAAGAUCCUUUCUUCUCAAUCCUGUCACUUGGAGUUUUUGUAUAUUUUUGAAAGAAAGUUAGCAUACCUUUUUAUCCUCAUAGGUUCUCUCAGAUCACUCAUUAUCUUUUAUAUAUAUCUCACUGAGGCUGUUUUAUUUUUGCAAAAAUUCUCAAGCAUACUUACUUUGCAUUUAUUGCCUGAUCAAAACGGGAUCCGAGGAGGGAAAUGUCAUACACUUAGAUCAAAGACUUUGGAAAUUAAAAUCUUUGUCAACUCUUGCUGGCAUAUUGCUUAUUAGAGGGACCAUGGGCUAUCAUUUUUUUCUCUUUUCUCUCUCUUUUUUUUUAAGUGGAUACCGAGGUACCCCUAAUUCUACUGCCGGACACUUGUCCAUUUUUCUACGAGGUUGUCGAGCACUUGCUCCUUUUUAUUUCCUCGAAAUAUUUUUAUUUUUGCAUAGCCCAUGCCUCUAAUGCAAUAAUACUUCAGAAGAGUGAAUCUUUCUGAAAUAAUGUCUUGAUCUUAGGAGCAUGAUAAAUCUCUCAACAAGGGUCUAACUCAUUUUGAACAAACUCAAUACAGAGUAGAUAGCUUUUAUAAUCAUAAUCAAUAUUUUCAGUUUUAUCAGGCAUAUAAAACACUGAGGAUGGUAGCUAGAAUUUUGAAUAUUUUGAAAUAAAUUCUCCAAGCAACAAUGAUAUCAAGAAUAAGAAACUCAUACUCUAUCAUCAUAUAUUCCAUAUUGACUUAAGUAACACAGGGUUUUAAAAUGAUUUUAUAAUAAUUGCAAGUUUUCAGGAAAUAUCACAGAUUGAGAUUAAUCAUGAUUAGAAAUAUUUUAAUCUUUUUAUUUUAUCAUGUCGGAAACAAUAAUCUGCAUAAUCCAAAAUAUAUAUAUGUGUAAAGCAAAGUGUGCAGAGUGUGUACCUGAAUCGUGGAGUGGUGUAGUCGGAGUGUGUUUGUGAUGUGAACCCACUAGGGUUUUCGCCUGAUCUUUCGAUGAGAGGCGCUGGAUAACUCGAUUAGUGAAUGGAGAUGACGUUCACAGCCCGACUACAGCCCUCAAGACUGCGCCUUAGCAACCGAUACACCGCCUCCAAUGGCUGUCACGAUCUUGUGGAGCGCAACACCCGGCCACUAGGGCACUCGUCCUGCAAGCAAUCGAAGAACCAGCAAGAACAAGUAGAACAAGUACUAAAUUACCAGAUGUAAAUGAAGGUUUCAAACUCAAUCUCUAAUGAAGUGGGGUUUCGAAAACAAGAAGACGGGCGGCUGGAUCAGCACGCACGCUUACAAGCAAGUAGCGAAGGCUAAACUUUAUCUAAUCAAAACCCAGUUGUUCAUGGCGGCUCUAGAUGUAAAUAAAUAGAGGGGAGGACGACCAAAGGGGUGAUAGAGUCGUCCUCCAACCCUAGGACGCGUCCCUAAUGGACUCAACUUGAUACAUGGGCCAUUGGUCCAAAAUAGGGUGACGCAGCACCAAAACAGAAAAAGGUGU
rnacentral:lncRNA from 1 species